UGUUCCCUUGUGUUUCUCUUGCCUGUUUUUGGGAUUAUGAUUUUUGGAUUACCUUGUUAAAACACUGCUUUUGGAUCUCCCGUUUCCGGUGUGCAAUUAACAGUGAUGAAUGGGACAAAGGCUUGUGGGAAUUGUAGUGCCUGCAGUGGGGUGACUAUGGGGAAGUGAGACCACUAGUGGACACCCAGGGAAACGCAGACCAGACACUGUGACAUCUUUCCAUCCCUUCAUUCAAACCUUAAUGCCCACUUUUUAAAAUCCACAUUAUUCCAGAAAUACCUUUACAUUCACGGCAACCGUUCUCAUGGAGGAAAGGACUUCAUCAGCCACUGCUCCUGCUUUAGCAUAGGCCGUCAACUCACGACCUCAACACCAACCAUCGCCAUGAGUCCUGCAGCCAGUCCAAUGAGAGGACUGACUGCUAUCACCACCAGCGUCAGCUUCCAUCCGCCGAUGAAUCCCACCGUGAAGCCAA